GAUGAACGCUGGCGGCGUGCCUAAUACAUGCAAGUCGAGCGAACAGACGAGGAGCUUGCUCCUCUGACGUUAGCGGCGGACGGGUGAGUAACACGUGGAUAACCUACCUAUAAGACUGGGAUAACUUCGGGAAACCGGAGCUAAUACCGGAUAAUAUAUUGAACCGCAUGGUUCAAUAGUGAAAGACGGUUUUGCUGUCCCUUAUAGAUGGAUCCGCGCCGCAUUAGCUAGUUGGUAAGGUAACGGCCUACCAAGGCGACGAUGCGUAGCCGACCUGGGAGGGUGAUCGGCCACACUGGAACUGAGACACGGUCCAGACUCCUACGGGAGGCAGCAGUAGGGAAUCUUCCGCAAUGGGCGAAAGCCUGACGGAGCAACGCCGCGUGAGUGAUGAAGGUCUUCGGAUCGUAAAACUCUGUUAUUAGGGAAGAACAAAUGUGUAAGUAACUAUGCACGUCUUGACGGUACCUAAUCAGAAAGCCACGGCUAACUACGUG
rnacentral:rRNA from 1 species